rnacentral:rRNA from 1 species
GACGAACGCUGGCGGCGUGCUUAACACAUGCAAGUGGAGCGGUAAGGCCCUUUCGGGGGUACACGAGCGGCGAACGGGUGAGUAACACGUGGGUGACCUGCCCUUAGCUCUGGGAUAAGCCUGGGAAACUGGGUCUAAUACCGGAUAUGACUCCAUGACGCAUGUUGUGGGGUGGAAAGCCUUGUGCGGCUAGGGAUGGGCCCGCGGCCUAUCAGCUUGUUGGUGGGGUGAUGGCCACCAAGGCGACGACGGGUAGCCGGCCUGAGAGGGCGACCGGCCACACUGGGACUGAGACACGGCCCAGACUCCUACGGGAGGCAGCAGGUGGGGAAUCUUGCGCAAUGGGGACGAAAGCCUGACGCAGCGACGCCGCGUGAGGGAUGACGGCCUGG